GUAAUUAACUGCGGUUAUUCGGUGCUUAAUUAGCAAUUAAUUGGCGGCUAAUUAGCAUUUCUGACCCUCAGCUAGCCCGCUUUUGUCGGGUUUCGUGUUGUUUGCCGGGCUGCAAAGGGGUUUGAGCAUAGAGUUGUCGCUUUGUUGGGUUUCUUGCUGUUAAUUAGGGGCUAAUGUGGGGGGUUAAUUAAAACGGGGUUAAUUAAGCAGCCCUUAUUGGAGCUGAGCGCGUUUGAAUGGCUUUGAAGGCCAAAAAGCGGCGUGGAAUGGGCUUAAAACUCUCCUAUGCUUUUGAAUGGGGGUCGUGGUGGCUUUGUUAAUUAGCCGCGUGUUAAUGAAGGCCGAACGGGGGGCAGUGGGGAGCAGCAGGUGCAGUUAAUUAGCUCCAGGUGGCGUUAAUUAGCCCAGGUGGACCAUCUCUAUGGUCUUGGAGGACCUUUCCGAGCCCACCCCUCUCCAACUCUAUGGUCUUGGAGGACCUUUCCGUGCCCCCCAACUCUAUGGUCUUGGGGGACCUUUCCGAGCCCCCCAACUCUAUGGUCUUGGAGGACCUUUCCGAGCCCCCCAACUCUAUGGUCUUGGAGGACCUUUCCGAGCCCCCCAACUCUAUGGUCUUGGAGGACCUUUCCUACCUCAAUGGGGUCUUAAUGGGGUUUUAAUUUGGGGUCUUAAUGGGGUUUUAAUUGGGGUCUUAACGGGGCCUUAAUUGGGGCGCUAGUUGGGUUCUUAUGGGGUCCCUAUGGGGUUCUGUGGGGUCGGGGGUGUUGUAGGGUCCCACUGGGGUCUCUAUGGGGUCUCUAUGGGGUCUGAGAGGGUUUAUAGGGUCUCUAUGGGGUCCUAUGGGUCUCUAUGGGGUCUUAUGGGGUCUUUAUGGGAUCUGAGAGAGUUUAUGGGGUCCUUAUGGGGUCUGAGAGGGUUUAUAGGGUCUCUAUGGGGGCUUAUAGGGUCCUUAUGGGGUCUGAGAGGGCUUAUAGGGUCCUUAUGGGGUCUGAGAGGGUUUAUAGGGUCUUCUGGGGUCUCUAUGGGGUCUGAGAGGGCUUAUAGGGUCUUUAUGGGGUCCUAUAGGGUCUCUAUGGGGUCUUAUGGGGUCUGAGAGGGCUUGUGGGGUCUUUAUGGGGUCCUAUAGGGUUUCUAUGGGGUCUUAUGGGGUCUGAGAGGGCUUAUAGGGUCGUUAUGGGGUCCUAUGGGGUUGCUAUUGGGCUCCUUAUGGGGUCUGAGAGGGCUUAUAGGGUCUUUAUGGGGUUUUAUGGGGUCCUUAUGGAGUCUCUAUGGGGUCUUAUGGGGUCUUUAUGGGAUCUGAGAGAGUUUAUGGGGUCCUUAUGGGGUCCUUAUGGGGUCUGAGAGGGCUUAUAGGGUCCUUAUGGGGUCCUAUGGGGUCUAAGAGGGCUUAUAGGGUCUCUAUGGGGUCUCUAUGGGGUCCUAUAGGGUCCUUAAGGAGUCUAAAAGGGUUUAUAGGAUCUCUGUGGGGUCCUAUAGGGUCUUAUGGGGUCCUUAUGGGGUCUGAGAGGGUUUAUAGGGUCUUUAUGGGGUCCUAUAGGGUUUCUAUGGGAUCUUAUGGGGUCUGAGAGGGUUUAUAGGGUCUUUAUGGGGUCCUAUAGGGUCUCUAUGGGGUUCUAUGGGGUCCUUAUGGGGUCUGAGAGGGCUUAUAGGGUCUUUAUGGGGUCCUUAUGGGGUCUGAGAGGGACGCAUAGGGACUCAUUAAUGACCCUAUAAACUCUCUGGAUCCCGUAAGGACCCCAUAAGGACCCCAUAG
ensembl:lncRNA